UAUCUGGGUUGAUUCUGCCAGUAGUCAUAUGCUGUUCUCAAAGAUUNANCCAUGC
rnacentral:rRNA from 1 species